rnacentral:lncRNA from 1 species
CGGCUAAUGUUUUAAAUUUAAUUUUUGAAGUUUUUAAAAAAUUUCUGGACACUUUGUUUAAAAACUGGGUGAGAGUGUAUUUGUGCCUAUACAGUAUCAUCCACAUACAACCCCUUUGAUCAGUAAUUUAUUUCAAGUAUGAGGACCGGUGAAGAUUAGUUUAAUAACUUCUUCCUCUUAACAUUCAUAAUUUCAGGGGAAGGGUGGAUGGAAACACAGGGUUUCUGUACCUUUUAAGGGUUGUACAGUAUAAGAAGCAAUGAUUAUCAAGGGAUGGCUUUUCUCAAGCAAGGGCUGGUCAGCAUCCGAUUCAGGCUGCUGGUUUGGGUGUCAUGACGGAGACUAAAUCAGUUGUUUCGUAUAUUAUGAGGAUAUCUUUAAGUACAAGGUGGGGAUUCUUCAGGAGUUGGGGGGAGCACAUGGCCGACUCCCCAACUGAUGGGGUUUGUGCCUGUAAUUUGCAGAAGGGAAGCCAGAUAAAGCCAGCUGCAACAAGCACUUCUGCUUUAAAACUGGCCAUGUGGCUUGUUCUAAAACCAGCCAGUGCUUCCAGGAGGUUUCUCUCUACAACUAAGGUUUUCUGAAAGGAUCUUACAAUAGAAAAUGGAACCCUUGGCUGGUCCAGGCACUCCAGGAGCAGAGCCAUUCACAGAUGCACAAGUCUUCGUAGCCAACUACGCUUCUGAGCUUGGCUUGUCGCCAGCUGGCGGGUGCAGUCCAGCCUACUUCACGGACUCUGGAGAGCUACUGGGGGGUCUUGGUGGACUAGGUGAUGUUGUCUGUUGGAGUGACAAUGUGGAUCACUGCAUCUCUUACCUGAACAAGGAAUUGGUGAUGCUGGGGCUCCCUGCCUUAUAUAAGGACGAUGGUUCUGGAGAUGGUGCUGAGCAUGGAUUUGACCUACUGGCAUUGGUGAAUGGCACUAGUGAGCUGCUAAAUCUGUAUCAAGCAGCAAUGGCCAAGCUGGGCGACAUGGAGGCAGAGGAUGUGCGGCGGGCAGGAGAACUGGAUUACCUGAGAAUGCGACAUGGCAAACUCAAGGUGAGAGCUUCCCAAUUCUAUAUUGCUUGUACCACAUUGCAUCUUGUGCAGUUGUUAUAGUUUCACGAGAACUAACCCAAGACAUUCUGAUAUUUGAUUCUUAAAAAAAACAAACCCCUAAAACAAAACGCAGAUGGUAUCAUUAAAAGCACAGGCAACAAUCCAUUUGGAAAUACUUUCUCCAAACUCUCUUGAAAUGGAGUGGAGCACAUUGUGUGCCAUUGCUCACUGGGCAGGUUUAUCUGCUUUUGACCAUCUUACUUUUGGAGAGUAUCCAGCCCACCUUAGAACCUCUCUUCAUAGUAAGGCAGUCUGUGUUCAGCCUUCCAGAGACCUGGCCAUUGGGAACAACCAGCCAGGAAUUCUUCCUUAUAAACACAGCCCUGGCCAAUAGUCCUUUCCAUUUAUACCCCUUAGACUUCAAGGCAGCUACUGAACACACGCUGCACAUCAUAAACAGACA